rnacentral:rRNA from 1 species
ACGCUUCUUUUUCCACCGGAGCUUGCUCCACCGGAAAAAGAAGAGUGGCGAACGGGUGAGUAACACGUGGGUAACCUGCCCAUCAGAAGGGGAUAACACUUGGAAACAGGUGCUAAUACCGUAUAACAAUCGAAACCGCAUGGUUUUGAUUUGAAAGGCGCUUUCGGGUGUCGCUGAUGGAUGGACCCGCGGUGCAUUAGCUAGUUGGUGAGGUAACGGCUCACCAAGGCCACGAUGCAUAGCCGACCUGAGAGGGUGAUCGGCCACAUUGGGACUGAGACACGGCCCAAACUCCUACGGGAGGCAGCAGUAGGGAAUCUUCGGCAAUGGACGAAAGUCUGACCGAGCAACGCCGCGUGAGUGAAGAAGGUUUUCGGAUCGUA